rnacentral:misc_RNA from 1 species
UCCGGUUUGACACCGGCAGUCUCGCUAGAGUACCCGGCAUUACCCGCUGGCAACUAGCGACAAGGGUUGCGCUCGUUAAGGGACUUAACCCGACACUUCACAGCACGAGCUGACGACAGCCAUGCAGCACCUGUGCACGUUCCACUCUUGCGAGUGUGGCCCCACUUUCAUGGGGUUAAUCCGUACAUGUCAAACCCAGGUAAGGUUCUUCGCGUUGCUUCGAAUUAAGCAACAUGCUCCACCGCUUGUGUGAGCCCCCGUCAAUUUCUUUGAGUUUUAGCCUUGCGACCGUACUCCCCAGGCGGCACACUUAUCAAUUUCUCUGCGACCAGAACGACGUCAGAGCCGCUCCGGUCUAGUGUGCAUCGUUUAGGGCGUGGACUAC